GGACCCCCUGAUGCCACCACGAGAUUCCACGUGCUGAUGUCUCCCAUGCAAGAGCUCAGCUGGAGCCAUCAACAUCUUUUGGGUGCUGACUACCCCGUGCCCAGGGUUGGGGUCACCCACCAGGGUGCUCAGCCAGCUGCCCCAUGGACACAGAUGAGCCCAGAGGACAUGGCACCCACUUAUCCCACAGAUGAGGAAGCUGUCCCUCCCUUGGUCACCUAAACACCUCAUCCAUCAUCCAGGCUGAUGCCACCCCUGCACUGAGCUGCAGCCUGUAAUGGAUUGGAAGAUGUCAAAAGGACCCAUUAUGCCACCCAGAUGGCUCUCCCACCAGAAAGGGAGCUGAAAGGCUGAGCAGCAACUUCAUGUCCCUCACAUCACAUCCUCAGCCACCUAAAAAUCCUCCCAGAUACCUCUCCUUGCUUCAGCUUCAAGAGACCCUUCCUGCACCAAGUUCUUGGGCAAGCUGUGAUGUCCAAAGGUCCAAAUGGAGUGUUUUGGGAGACACUUUGUGAAGCCACCUGAAAAGAAGGAGCAGUGGGAUGCUUCCCUGUUGUUCCUGCUGUCAGAGAAGCCACCUCUGCACCACAAAG